ACACUAGUUCUAUUGUGUUUCCAUGUUAUCCCACUUUCCCAUCCACUCCCGGCCCACUAGGGGGCAUUUUACGGAGGUCUACAAACCUACACACCUACAUGUCUUUGGGAUGUGGGAAGAAACCGGAGCACCUGGAGGAAACCCACACUGUCACAGGG